CUUGCAGAUGCUUGAGAGGCUAUGUAAAUGGCAGUUUGUCCUUCUUCAACAUGAGUGACUUUGGCACAGCAGAUAAAGGCUACUGCAGGUACAGAGACUACAGAGCUCCACCAUGGGAUCGCAAUCGAUAUGAGUUCACAUUACAGUUCUGGCAUGUUCUAGCUGCACGUUUGGCUUUCAUCAUCGUGUUUGAGCACUUAGUGUUUGGCAUCAAAUCUUUCAUAGCCUACCUAAUCCCAGAUAUGCCCAAAGACCUGUGUGACCGGAUGAGGCGGGAAAAGUACCUGGUUCAAGAAAUGAUGUAUGAGGCAGAACUGGAACAUCUGCAGAGGGAACGGAAGAAGAAUGGGAAGAGAUAUCACCAUGAAUGGCCUUAGUGCAAACAAUGAGAUUAAUCAAUGGACACUCCAGAGGAACUGCACUUCUAUAGAGAAUGGAGAUGCCAGCUAUGCUGCACAAGCUCUUGCAAGUUUUAUACACAUAUAGAUAUGACUUUUUAAUAUAAUUAUAAACUCCUCAAAAUGCAUGACUUCAAGAGAAAAGGAGAAAGGAGUGGAAUUCUUUUCUGUCCUUUGGAUUCCAGAUUUGUCUGGCACCUAAAAGAAUCAUGGAAGCCAAGUGUUAACCUCAUGAUGAUUGGGUGUUUAAUUUUUAAGAAUAUUUUACGAAUCAGUAUGAGUUCACAUCACAAUCAUAUGAUCCAUCCGUACCAAAGAAUGAGAGUUUAUUUGUAAAACAGUCCCCUCUCAUUUUUAAUCUCCACUGAUAUUUGUUCUUCCAUCCAUUCAAAUAGUUUUCUCGGACUGUUUUGAGAAACUUGUUAGUAAAAGGGUUGAGAGCAGGUAGAAACACAGGUGGGUUUGUUGAGCCAAUACUGAACCAAUGUAAGGAAACAUGUUCGAGAUGUAACCGAUACAUGACAGAAUAGAAUUUGCAAACCUCGAUCAGCAUUUCAGCUUAAUAUUCAGUUGUUGCUAUUGCAAGAAACACAUAUAUUGGCAAGGGUUUGCUUUUCUCUGUUUUGAAAGUGCUCACCCUUUCAGUCUCCUGUUUCCAUUUCACCAGUUCAACCAAGAGGGAAAUGAGUAAAAGUGAUCUUUAUUAUUGGCUGAUGCAGUGUCUAAAUAGUAUUACAGAAAUGGCCAAAUCAUCACACAUUCAUGUUGAGGCAUCUUGGCUUCUCACGACGUUCAUGAUACUUACAUGUUUUAAUCCAUCAAUCAGACUAACUUUCGGAGUUAAGUUUGUAUCGUACAAAGUGAGAAAACUCAAGUGAUCAACUAAAGGUGACUUGCUUUUUGAUAUCCUACUUCAGAUUUCUCGUUAUGGCACAGUUGAUGGAUAACGUGCCCUCUUCUGUAUCAUCAGAAUGCUUGGCUUCAUUCGCAUGUUUGUUGCAUACCACAAACUAGAAUGGGAAGCAUUAAAUUCAGGCAGCUUUCGAUAUAAAUGAUAAGCAAUGCACAUUGGAUGGGGAUAAAGUGUGUAUUGCCUGAAACCCCAAAACAGAAUAAAUUUAUUACUAUAAAGGUAACAAAAGUAUGCAUAGAGUACCUUCACAAUCUAUAGUUUUGACUGGACAUGCCACAACAUAAUAAACACAGUGAGACGUUUUGUUAUGAGGAAUCUCACCACAUUGAAUUUGACUUUUUUUUCAGAGCAGGUUGAUGUCAGUGUAGUUGAAAUGCUGCCCAGGGAUAAUUCACAUUUGGUGUUGCAUAAUAGCAAGACUUAAAGAUUUACAUGAAUGCCUCUUUUUAGUGUCUUUUAUAUUUUGUCUUGUUUCAAUGUCUUGCCUUUUUUAAUUUGUUACCUAUGCAGGGACCUGCUGCCUGUUGCAUCUCAUAGUUUGUUUCAGCUAAUGUAAAAUGUAAUAUGCAAGCACAAUGCAACACACAAAUUUUAACAUUCACAUCACAGUUCUUUUGAUGAUUUUGUUAUAUCGCAGCGAUAAAGGGCUUGUGACAUACAGGAGUAGAAACCAGGUCAAUACCAGUAUGGGAACUGUAUAUAUCGAUUCCAGUGAUUUAGGGGUCACGGGUUUAAAAAAAAAAGGUCUGUUGUAAGACUACCCAAUCAAAAUUAAAUCCACCAACCAUUUUUAGGAACCUUAAGAUUAACUUGGAUGCCUAUACGCAGCAGCAGUGAUACCAUACGAGUAUACGAAAUAAAUAAUUGGGCUAUCUUACUUAUCAGCAUGGCUCACUAAAAGAAAAUCUUUAAUUUGCCCAAUGUCAGUCUUUUUUUUCUUGACUGGUAGGGUGGGGGUGUGUGUAUCAGUGUAAUUAAGUUAUUACUAUGCAGUUCAAAACAUUGUGCAUCACUGACGAGUCUUAUGUAACAUAGGAUUAAAUGUCUUAAUAUCGUAAUUGGAACUUUCAUCCCAAAAAGAUGUUGCUUGAAUAUAAGAUUGCACAGGAAUGUCUUGAAACAAAUGUCUUGUUGUGUAAGUGAAGUACCACAAAAUAAGGACAUGACAAAAAAAAAUGGCAUAACUUAAAUCAUGAGCUAUGCAUUGUGACUAACAUUUUAUUACUUUCUUAUCUAUUAUGCAGGAAUAUAAUGUAGUGUGAUUGAUUUAAUUUGCUGUAUAUGUAAAAGCAACAGUUGUCACUGUAAAUCUCAGAUUUGUGGUGUUACGAACACAUUAUAUUUCUAUGAAUCAUUCAACUCACCUAUUCCUAUAUUUGUAAUCAUUUAAGGUGAAGCUGAGAGUCUAAUGGUUUAUGGAGUUGAUGCAAGAUUGAACUCUUCCUUCGAGUUCAUUCCUUCCCUCCAUGGAUGCAGCAUAAGCAUAGGUGACAAUUAGAAGGAUCAUUUUACAGUUCAUUGUGCAGUUCCUCCAUUGUUUAUUGAUUUACGCAUCUUGUGCACAUUGCCUUAUUGCCUUCAGGAAUGUCAACACUUAGCUGGAAGGCUGAUAAAUGGCAGUUUGAAAAGAUAAACCUGGAGUGGUCGUAUACUUUAACAGUUGAUUCCAUUCACCCACUCAUCCUGAAUAUACCAGAUAACUAGAGAAAUGCAAAAACAACUGAGAUGUUUUAAGUUGUUUGUAAAACCAUUCUGCAUGAGCGACUUCAAAUGCUUGUAUGAAAUGCUAUUCCUCACCAUUAUUGCGUUCGCAUGCACAUAACAGCAAAGCUUUUAUGAUUGGAGCAAUUUCUAUAUGGCACAACUUGGCCUCUUCUGCGCAUUUUUCUACUUGUGCUACCUAGGUUACAUUUGGCAAGCUUUAGUCUUGCAUGCUUGCAGGUAAAAUACUCAGCAUGUACUUAUUUCAGAUUUUCAAUAUUUCCUACAGUUUAUAGAGUUUCGAUUCAGUUUAAGGGAAUGACAAUUUAAGAUCAUUCCUACUUCUUUUUCAUUAUUAAAUGUCCUUCAUUAUUAUCCUGUUGCAACACUGCAAAGCAUCUACCAUCUAAGACUAAUCUUGGAAACAGCUACUGAUAUGAUACUUUGAGUCAACACAUUUUCACUAUCAGAAAUUUCAUUAUCAUUUCCACUCUUACCCAUUGAAAAAAUUGCUGGAAGCUCAUCAAAAGUUGAUUGCUACUUAGCAAUCAAAUUUCACUAAAAUGUAUUAUAUUUUAGUACAAUCUUGCCCAUUGUAUCCUGCUAUUGCUUGGUCUUUUUCUGACCCCUCAAUUGGCACUGCCAUCGGGUGCAGUUAGUUCAGCACCCUGAAGUAUUAUUGGAAUUUUAGCCAUUGUGACUAAAAUCUUAUGGAUUAUAAAAAAUAGCUUAUCUGGUCUCCCUCAGUCCACCAGGCUUGUCCCUUUCUUCAAGGAAUCUAGAGGGUUGGUUAAGCAAGUUAUUCUCCUGUCUUCAUUUUAAUUAAUUUUUACUAGGUUAUUAUUGCAUGAAUAAACCUCAAUGUAUUCCAUUUUAUUGAUACCCAAGUUAAAUUACAUAUAGUCACAAUGUAACUAACAUUAGGCUAUAAGAUGUAUGAGCAGAAGUAGGCCACUCAGCCCUUCAUGUCUGCUUUGCCAUUCAAUGAGAUCAUGGCAGAUCGCAUAAUCCUCAACUCCACUUUCCUGCCUUAUCCCCAUGACCCUUUCUACCCUUAUUGAUUAAAUAUCUUUUCCUCCCACCCUUGAAUGUUCUUAACUUAUGACUUAUAAUAUACCUUUUACUCUUAACAUGUUCUUGAAUGUUCCCAGUCUCGAUAGCCCUCUGUAGUAAAGAAUUUCACAGAUUUCAGGACCCUCCUCAUCUCUGUUUUAAAUAGGCAACCACUUACUCUGAGACUGAGGUGCCUUCUGGUCCUAGAUUCUCCCAGAAGUGGAAGCAACGUCUCUGCGUCUACUCAGAUAUGUUCACGAUGUUUCAAUCAGGUUGUGGCUCAUCCAGAGCUAUGAGAGAGGCCAGAUUUGACAUUACGUACACAUUGACAUAAACUGCUCUCUUUAGAGCUUCAGUCAAAACAGAAAUAAUGAUCAAUGAUGGUCACCAACCAUUACUUGCCUAUUGAUUCCUACAGAAUAGUGGUUGUCUUAACAUCAAAAAAAAACCUUCUUAGUCUCCACAAGCUCUCUGAGGCAAAGCAAUAUUUAGUCCUUGGAACUAAUUUGUUUUGAGUCCUUUUAGCCUGUCAGGACAUCCAUCUCAUUCAUGUUUUUAUUGAUUUUGCUUGGUAUAAUCCUAUUUUUGGAGGGCACAUUUCUCUUUAUCAAUUAUUUGAUUUAGAAUAUUUACUACUUUGGGUAUUCCCUCAGUUAAAGACCAUUCAAAUCUAUCGGGAUUUUCAGCUGUUCUUAGCCUAUAUUCUUACAGCAUCAAAACGAUUUAUACUGUCCACUUUUUUUUCUUCUGGGCCCAUUAUGCUCUUUUGAUCACCUUUCUAGCACAUUUCCAGAUUUUUUAAUCUCACUCAGUCCCAUCCCCCUUUCUGUCUGAAAGUUAGCAGGCAGGUCUAUUUUGCAUUCAGCUUGUUUGCAAAUGCAGUGAGUGUCACUGUUGUUCCAUCUCAAUUUUUGGAAAUGUGCUUAUCUUACUCACUUAACAUUGUGGCCCAGUUUUCCUGGAAGUGCAAUGGGACCCCCAUACUACAACGUUACAGUGGUGGAGUGGAAGUGGUUCCAGGGAAACUCUUGAGUUUGUAGAAGAUGGAAAUUAGCUAUCAGUGAGUUUAAUCUUCAGUUGGUUAGCUUCAUGUUCAGAAAAUAAUUUCCAGUCAAGCAACUACAAUAAGAAUUAAUUGUAUGCAAUUUGUCCUUUCUUUUACGACUAAUCUUAAAAUCAUUGAAUUUUGUAUUAAAACUUCAUACUGUCAUUGAGUGGAAAUCAUCCAGACUUAAGAAUUUAGAAUGCAGUUUACAAGUUAAGAAGUGCACUCAGUUCUCAGGAACCCCCGUUAAGUUAUUGCAAAAUAUUAUUCUGGUGAAUGAAGAUAUAUUUUGUUAGUCAAAUUGCUCUGUAUUUUGUAUUACUGAAUAACAUGAUGCUGCAUGCAACUUAAAUUUGCAAAUUUUGCAAGGGAUGAUUCAUAAGCAGUUCAUUUUCAAAUAGAGAGUGCUACAAUGGUUUGCUGCUCAGCUUCAGAAACCAUUUGUUCUUCAAUCUGAGAAGUGCUAGCAUGACUUUUAUAGUGUCAUAUUUAUUUCUAUGUAUCACUUAGAAUAUGGCAUUUGAGGUGUAAUGAGAACAGUAAGAAUGCUGUUGAUCAAAAGUCUGCUGUAAUUUUAGCACUGCUAUCUGGUCUGAUUCCGUUGCUCUUUUAUCAUAUUCUUUCUCGAGACUUCAAGACAAUAUUUUCCUUGACCAGAUGUUAAUGGUGUCAAACUUGUGUCUUGAUGAAAAUAAGAGUCCAAAAAGACAAUAAACUGUCCUGUUCCGCCAUAAUAAUCUUUCUUCCGGGAAAUGGUGGAACAGACUUGAUGGGCCAAAGGCCCUCCUUUGUACUGUAUGCAUCUACAAUUCUAUGAAAUGUGAGAGCACUAUUUUAUGAGGCUUCUUAACCAGUUACAACCUGCAAUGCAGUCACCAGGUUUAAAAUGCUACACCUGGAGAGGAGUGAACAAUUUUUUUUUGUCUGUGUAUAACCUGAAGCAUAAAAAAAGACACAAACCACUUGGUAAAUUUGCUUGGGCCUGUACUGUAAUAUUUACGAAAUGCUAUGUUUAAUUUUGUAAGAUUUACAUGUACAAAUUGUAAUGACUGUAUAAUACAGAUUUGGAUAUCAGAAUUUUCAUUAAUAAAUAAUUGUAUGCACAUCAAUGUUUGGAUCAGUGAAAAUAUACUCUAUAAUUAACACUGUGGGAGUAUAAUUCCAUAAUGCCACCGUACAAACAGGGUUUGCUUCAAGGGGAGUCCAGUUGUCACACAGAAGUCUCACAUUGGGCCAGAAUUUGCUGGCAGCAUAAUACCGCUUUUAAAGUUCAAACCAUUGUCAGUGUGUAAAUUGGCAAGGAAUAUAGAGCAACAUUUGUUUUAACCAGCAUCUUUUGAACGAGCCCUCUCGAUAAACCGGCAAACAUUAUAACAGUGAAAUAC